GUACACGCUGUGACUAGCAUAUCAAUAAGCGGAGGAAAAGAAACUAACAAGGAUUCCCCUAGUAACGGUGAGUGAAGCGGGAAGAGCUCAAAUUUGAAAUCUUAAAGGGUUUCCCUUUACGAAUUGUAGUUUAAAGAAGUGUUUUCUGUUGAGGUUUUGGUAAAAGUUCUUUGGAAUAGGACAUCAUAGAGGGUGAGAAUCCCGUAUUUGACCUUUACUUUCAACUUUGUGAUACACUUUCAAAGAGUCGGAUUGUUUGGGAAUGCAGUCCAAAAUGGGUGGUAAAUUUCAUCUAAAGCUAAAUAUUGGCGAGAGACCGAUAGCGAACAAGUACCGUGAGGGAAAGAUGAAAAGAACUUUGAAAAGAGAGUUAAACAGUACGUGAAAUUGUCAAAAGGGAAGCGUUUGACACCAGUGUUGUUUUUCUGAAAAUCAAUUAAAGAACUGUUUAUGCUAAGUUGUUUAGACUUUAUCAGCCUAACUGUUUAGUUUUGAGCUUUUCUUUAAUGCACUUUUCAGUUAACAAGUCGACAUCAAUUUCUUUUGCUGUAAAAAAGCUUGAGGAAGGUGGCUUGAGAUUCGUCUUAAGUGUUUAUAGCCUCUUGCCUAUGCAGUCGGAGAGAUUGAGGUCUGCAGCGUAGAUCCUUCGGGGCUAAAUGCAUUUGUGCUAAGUUAUAGCAUUUUAUAGACAACUUGUUGACUAUGAUUUGUCUUGUAGCUUACUCGCUUAUGUUAUUUUACCUACGCUUAGGAUGUUGAGUCGUAGAGCACGCAG
rnacentral:rRNA from 1 species